CCUACGGGUGGCAGCAGUGGGGAAUAUUGCACAAUGGGGGAAACCCUGAUGCAGCGACGCCGCGUGAGUGAAGAAGUAUUUCGGUAUGUAAAGCUCUAUCAGCAGGGAAGAUAAUGAAGGUACCUGACUAAGAAGCCCCGGCUUACUACGUGCCAGCAGCCGCGGUAAGACGUAGGGGGCAGCCGUUAUCCGGAUUUACUGGGUGUAAAGGGAGCGUAGGGGGCAUGUCAAGUCAGUUGUGAACUCCCGGGGCUCAACCCCGGGAGUGCAUUUGAAACUGGCCAGCUGGAGUGCAGGCGAGGUAAGCGGAAUUCCUAGUGUAGCGGUGAAAUGCAUAGAUAUUAGGAGGAACACCAGUGGCGAAGGCGGCUUACUGGACUGUAACUGACACUGAGGCUCGAAAGCGUGGGGAGCAAACAGGAUUAGAUACCCGAGUAGUC
rnacentral:rRNA from 1 species